GAUGAACGCUGGCGGCGUGCUUAACACAUGCAAGUCGAACGGAAAGGCUCCUGCUUGCAGGGGUACUCGAGUGGCGAACGGGUGAGUAACACGUGGGUGAUCUGCCCAGCACUUCGGGAUAAGCCUGGGAAACUGGGUCUAAUACCGGAUAGGACGAUGGUUUGGAUGCCAUUGUGGAAAGUUUUUUCGGUGUGGGAUGAGCUCGCGGCCUAUCAGCUUGUUGGUGGGGUAAUGGCCUACCAAGGCGUCGACGGGUAGCCGGCCUGAGAGGGUGUACGGCCACAUUGGGACUGAGAUACGGCCCAGACCCCUACGGGAGGCAGCAGUGGGGAAUAUUGCACAAUGGGCGCAAGCCUGAUGCAGCGACGCCGCGUGGGGGAUGACGGCCUUCGGGUUGUAAACUCCUUUCGCUAGGGACGAAGCGCAAGUGACGGUACCUGGAGAAGAAGCACCGGCUAACUACGUG
rnacentral:rRNA from 1 species